rnacentral:rRNA from 1 species
GUCUGCAACUCGACUACAUGAAGCUGGAAUCGCUAGUAAUCGCGGAUCAGAAUGCCGCGGUGAAUACGUUCCCGGGUCUUGUACACACCGCCCGUCACACCAUGGGAGUCGGGAAUGCCCGAAGCCAGUGACCCAAGCGAAAGCAGGGAGCUGUCGAAGGCAGGCCGGAUAACUGGGGUGAAGUCGUAACAAGGUAGC